ensembl:snoRNA SNORA70 Small nucleolar RNA SNORA70
CUGUGGCCAAUUAAGCCGACUAGGGUCCUUUCCUCAUGGGGGCCUGAUGUGCAGUGGCUACAAAUAGCAGCCUCCAUGGUAGUACAUGCAGCCUGUUGCCUGUAUAGACGCCCUAAGGGACCUUGGAGACAGUU